UGAAGAGACAACCAGGAAGAGUGCAGAAGUUACAUCAGAAGGGGACUGGGGUCCUCAGCAGUGGAAACUACUUCCUGCAACUUUCUGCAAAGUAUACACCUUCCUCGUCUGUCAGCUGCAGAUGACCGUAAGAUGAUGGAUGGCCUCAGAGAAUGCACUUUAGUCUCAGGCAGAAUCUCUUCCUAGACAUAUUUAAUGUCUUGGUCCUCAUCUGGAUCUUCUUGCCCCAUUUCCAAACCCAAAGUGCUGUGUCGAAUAAUCUGCCACCCUGUCAGAGACCUCCUGUUUAAGGGUCUGAGUUUGGGGGUUCUUGAGAUCGGUCCCUUAAUUUUGUCAGUUUUCUCCUCCUUUUCAUCGUCUUUGGAGAAAGCUUUGACAUAACGCUGCAUCUUUUUGAACAUCGGAUCGUUUCUGUCCUCAACCCUGCAAAGAUGAUAGAGUGAAAAGUAGUCAAAUUUCAUGGAAAAUACUCUCACGAUGUACACUUUAAUUGAGAUGUUGAAACUUCCCUAAAGUUUGUGUAAUCAAAGAGGGAACAAAUCAAUAAAUGAACAGUCAAA